UACGUAGGGUGCAAGCGUUGUCCGGAAUUAUUGGGCGUAAAGAGCUUGUAGGCGGUUUGUCGCGUCUGCUGUGAAAUUUCGGGGCUCAACCCCGAACUUGCAGUGGGUACGGGCAGACUAGAGUGUGGUAGGGGAGACUGGAAUUCCUGGUGUAGCGGUGAAAUGCGCAGAGAUUGGAAAGAACACCGAUGGCGAAGGCACUUUACUGGGCUAUUACUAACACUGAGAGACGAAAGCUAGGGUAGCAAAUGGG
rnacentral:rRNA from 1 species